GAUGGACGCUGGCGGCGUGCCUAAUACAUGCAAGUCGAGCGAACGGACGAGAAGCUUGCUUCUCUGAUGUUAGCGGCGGACGGGUGAGUAACACGUGGAUAACCUACCUAUAAGACUGGGAUAACUUCGGGAAACCGGAGCUAAUACCGGAUGAUAUUUUGAACUGCAUGGUUCAAAAGUGAAAGACGGUCUUGCUGUCACUUAUAGAUGGAUCCGCGCUGCAUUAGCUAGUUGGUAAGGUAACGGCUUACCAAGGCAACGAUGCAUAGCCGACCUGAGAGGGUGAUCGGCCACACUGGAACUGAGACACGGUCCAGACUCCUACGGGAGGCAGCAGUAGGGAAUCUUCCGCAAUGGGCGAAAGCCUGACGGAGCAACGCCGCGUGAGUGAUGAAGGUCUUCGGAUCGUAAAACUCUGUUAUUAGGGAAGAACAUAUGUGUAAGUAACUGUGCACAUCUUGACGGUACCUAAUCAGAAAGCCACGGCUAACUACGUG
rnacentral:rRNA from 1 species